AUUGAACGCUGGCGGCAGGCCUAACACAUGCAAGUCGAACGAGUGGCGCACGGGUGAGUCAUGUAUGGGACACUGCCUGCUGGUGCGGGAUAACUACUGGAAACGGUAGCUAAUAACGCCUACCAUCGGAAGUGCGGAGAUGGGAUUAGCUAGUAGGUGGGGUAAAGGCGCACCUAGGCGACGAUCCCUAGCUGGUCUGAGAGGAUGACCAGCCACACUGGAACUGAGACACGGUCCAGACUCCUACGGGAGGCAGCAGUGGGGAAUAUUGCACAAUGGGCGCAAGCCUGAUGCAGCCAUGCCGCGUGUAUGAAGAAGGCCUUCGGGUUGUAAAGUACUUUCAGCGGGGAGGCGUUACCCGCAGAAGAAGCACCGGCUAACUCCGUGCCAGCAGCCGCGGUAAUAC
rnacentral:rRNA from 1 species